GGGCGAGUGGUGAAAUGGUAUCACUAGGGUCUCCAAAACCUUCGUCGUAGGUUCGAUUCCUACCUCGCCUGCAA
rnacentral:tRNA from 4 species